rnacentral:rRNA from 1 species
GACGUAGGGGGCCAGCGUUGCUCGGAAUUACUGGGUGUAAAGGGCGUGUAGGCGGUAUGUUAAGUCUGGCGUGAAAGCUCUCGGCUAAACCGGGAGAGGUCGUUGGAUACUGACACACUAGAGGAUGGUAGAGGCGUGUGGAAUUCCGGGUGUAGUGGUGAAAUGCGUAGAGAUCCGGAGGAACACCAGUGGCGAAGGCGACACGCUGGGCCAUACCUGACGCUAAAGCGCGACAGCAUGGGGAGCAAACGGG